CGUUGAAACACUGGCUCCCGUGCGAUCACCAGAGUUAAGCAACGUAGAGCUUGUUCAUUACCUAGAUGUGUGACCGCUUAUGAAUACCAGGUGCUGUAA